CGGCAAAGAGAGAGGGAGAGAGGAAGGGAGAGAGGGAGAAGGCGGGGAGGGAGAGGGGAGAGAGAGGCGCUCACACAAGACACAGCAUCAGAGAGAGGGUCUGGAGACAGAACGGAGAGACACUCAGGCCCAGCAGGGCAAAUGUGGCCAAUCCCCUAUUGCACCCCAACCACUGGACUGGUCACCUGGCCAGGCACUGCCCUUGGGGCCACUGCCCCUGCUGGCCAUCGACGCACGGGCCGCCCUGAGAGAUAAGAGCCCACAGAACCUCCUUGGCUUCCCCGUGGGUGAUAGCUCGGCCUGUGUGGGCCUGAUAGGCCGUGGCCACUGCAGCGGUUGGCCAGCAGCCGCGUAUCAGCCCAUCACCGCCCACUGCACAGAAAUUCAUAUCUGCGGGAGCCGAUAGGGCACCGCCCGGUCCAGAGGAUGCACACAGCACAGGAAGCUCGGGGGUGCGCCCCAGCCCCAAACCACGGCCGGCCUCAGGGGCCCAGCCCUUCCCGGCGCCAGGCUCCAUCCCCCAGGGCCUCCUUCGUCUGGAGAACAGGAGGAUGAUCUAACCCCUCUCAACACUGCAGGGGUGGACAGGGACCCGUGGGGUGACGAUCAAACCACUGUCUAUGAACUCCAGGCCCAAACCCAGCUCCACCACCUCCCAGCCGCAUGAUGGUGGACGUGUGCUGCAUCCCCGGGCUGGGGCUCCUCCUCCAGAGACUGGGGUCACCAUCUCGGCCCCUCUUGGGGCUGGUGUGAGGACCGCCCAGCACCCCCUGUCUGCCCAGUGGCCAACUGGGUCCCACAGGUGUGUCCUGGGCCUCCCCCCACCUGGUGUCCCUGAGGAGAAGGCACGCAGCCAGCACGUUUCUGCCACGGCGCCUGGGCCCCCCACCAUCUUUGGGUCCCAGGUGGGUAAGCCACAUCGUCUGCUGUGCUGGAUGCCCGGUCCCCCCUUCCUGGGGAACAGCAGGAGGAGCCCAUGAGGACCGGUGGCCACGAGGCCCCAGCAUUGCCUUGGGCAGCCCCACAGCCCGUGCAGGUGUGACUCAGCUUCCCCUUGGGGCCGGGUCAUCCUCCUGGCUGUGGCUGCCCAGGCCCACCCCUCUCUCUGUGGUCCCAGCUGUCCCGUUGCGGGAAGGGGCUGUAUUGAACGAGAGGCCUCUCCACGCACGUGCCACUGCCUACUUGCACCAGCGGGCCCGUGGACCCAUCUCUCACUCUCCCUUGCUGCUGGGACCUCGCUGACCCCUUUCUAUCUUAGCCCCCGGGAAGGAAUGGGGUCCCUCUGCCUCAGCGAAGCCUUCCCUGCUCCUCAGGAUGGCGAGCGCCUCACCACACAUCUUCUCUCCACAGAUGGGGGCCCUGCUGGUGUCAUUACGGCCGCUUGCGCGCUCUGCGAUGGCCAUCUGCUCCCGGCUGUAUGCCUGGCACACAGCAGGCACUCAAUAAAUGUUUGCUGCAUCUG